rnacentral:misc_RNA from 1 species
GUUUGAAUCUGAUUAAUAGAAUAAGAGGGAGGAAGCAGUAAUGAACUAAAUCACUUGCAUGUUGAAGUGUAUGAGAAAUUUGGGGGAUCGGAAGAAGCUGUAGUUAAUUUUUAUGCCAAUUAUUUUGGGGCAAUUCCCAAUUGAGGGUUUAAUUUGAUCAUCAAAUUAUGGCAACAACUAAGGUCUACGUUGUGUAUUACUCACUUUAUGGCCAUGUCGAGACUAUGGCACGAGAAAUACAACGCGGAGUCAAUUCAGUUGAGGGCGUCGAAGCAACACUUUGGCAGGUUCCGGAGACACUUCCUGAGAGGAUAUUGGAGAAGAUGAAGGCUCCUAAAAAGCCUGAUGAUGUGCCUGAGAUCACACCUGAGCAGCUCUUGGAAGCUGAUGGUUUCAUCUUUGGUUUCCCUUCUCGUUUUGGUGUGAUGGCUGCCCAAUUCAAAGCCUUUUUUGAUGCCUCCGAUGAGAUAUGGGCAACUCAAGCAUUAGCUGGUAAACCUGCUGGAAUCUUUUGGAGUACUGGUUUUCAUGGAGGUGGCCAAGAGCUUAGUGCACUAACAGCUGUAACUCAAUUGGCACAUCAUGGCAUGAUAUUUGUUCCUCUUGGAUAUACUCUUGGUAAAGGAAUGUUUGAGAUGGAUGAGGUAAAAGGUGGAUCUUCCUAUGGAGCUGGAACUUAUGCUGCAGACGGUUCUCGUCAGCCCACAGAACUGGAACUAAAACAAGCCUUUCAUCAGGGUAAAUAUAUUGCUGAAGUUACAAAGAAACUCAAGUAAUUGAUGACAGAACAAAAGAGCAAAAAGAGAGAGUUAAAAUACAAUCAAGACGUAUUUGAGCAAUCUAUCACUGAAAUGGGAAGUCCGACUCUGUCUACAAAUGUACAUCAAUUGUAUAAGCCUUUUUACUCUGUAAAG